UACGGGGGGUGCAAGCGUUGUUCGGAAUUAUUGGGCGUAAAGCGCGUGUAGGCGGUCUGAUUAGUCUGAUGUGAAAGCCCUGGGCUCAACCCAGGAAGUGCAUUGGAUACUGUCAGACUUGAAUACGGGAGAGGGUAGUGGAAUUCCUAGUGUAGGAGUGAAAUCCGUAGAUAUUAGGAGGAACACCGGUGGCGAAGGCGGCUACCUGGACCGAUAUUGACGCUGAGACGCGAAAGCGUGGGUAG
rnacentral:rRNA from 1 species